GGCGGACGUGGCCAAGUGGAUUAAGGCA
rnacentral:tRNA from 2 species